ACGCUCGACACCUACGGAGGCAGCAGUAGGGAAUCUUCCACAAUGGACGCAAGUCUGAUGGAGCAACGCCGCGUGAGUGAAGAAGGUCUUCGGAUCGUAAAACUCUGUUGUUAGAGAAGAACACGAGUGAGAGUAACUGUUCAUUCGAUGACGGUAUCUAACCAGCAAGUCACGGCUAACUACGUGGCAGCAGCCGCGGUAAUCUGAGCGGGCUGGCAAGGC
rnacentral:rRNA from 1 species